UACCUAGUUAAUUCUACUAAUAGUUAUAUACUUAUCUUAAAGAUUAAGCUAUAUAUNNNNNNNNNNNNNNNNNNNNNNNNNNNNNNNNNNNNNNNNNNNNNNNNNNAUAUAAAACUAAUACCCUUCGGGGCUCUCUUAGUAAUUUAUAAUAACUUCUUAAAUCGUAUAGCCCCGCGCUAAUAAUAGUUUAUUUAAAUUUCUUCCCUAUUAACUUUCGAUAUUACGGUAUUAUCCUAGUAUAGUUAUAACGGGUAACGGAGGGUUAGGGCUCGACCUUGGAGAAGGAGCCUAAGAAACGGCUACUAUAUCUAAGGAAGGUAAUAGGCGCGCAAAUUACCUAAUCCCGACUCGGGGAGGUAGUAACGAUAAAUACCGAUAUAGGGCUCUUUUAGGUCCUAUAAUUAGAAUAAAUAUAAUUUAAAUCCCUUAACGAGGAAUAAUUAGAGGGUAAGUCUAAUACUAGUAGCUAUAGUAAUUCUAGCUCUAAUAACGUAUAUUAAAGUUAUUAUAGUUAAAAAGCUUAUAGUAGAAGCUCGGCCUUUAAUCGGCCGGUCCGCCUUACCGUAUAUAUUAGUUCGGCUAGGGCUUUACCUUCUACGGAACCGUAUCUCCUUUACUAGGGGUAUUAGGGAAAUAGGACGUUUACUUUAAAAAAAUUAGAGUACUCUAGGUAGGCUUAUACUCGAAUAUAUUAGUAUAGAAUAAUAGAAUAGGACGUAUAGUCUUAUUUCGUUAAUUUCUAGGACCGCCGUAAUAAUUAAUAGGGAUAAUCGGGGGCAUUAAUAUUUAAUUAUUAAAAGUGAAAUUCUUAGAUCGAUUAAAGAUUAAUUAUUACGAAAGCAUUUACUAAAGAUAUUNUAUUAGGAACGAAAGUUAAAGGAUCGAAGACGAUUAGAUACCGUCGUAAUCUUAACUAUAAACUAUAUCGAUUAGGGAUCGGACGGUAUUAUUUCUUAACCCGUUUAGUACCUUAUAAAAAAUUAAAGUACUUAGGCUCUAGGGGGAGUAUAGUCGUAAGGCUGAAACUUAAAGAAAUUGACGGAAGGGCACUACUAGGGGUAGAGCCUAUAGCUUAAUUUAAUUUAAUAUAGGGAAANUUUAUAGGUAGUAGUAUAUAGCCGUUCUUAGUUAGUAGAGUGAUUUAUCUACUUAAUUACGAUAAUAAACGAGACCUUAACCUAUUAAAUAGUCUAUAUUACCCCGGUAAUACGCUGACUUCUUAGAAGGACUAUCGGCUCAAGCUAAUAGAAGUUUAAGGCAAUAAUAGGUCUAUAAUGCCCUUAGAUAUUCUAGGCCGCACGCGCAUUACACUAACGGGGCUAGCGAGUACUACCUUAGCCGAAAGGUCCGGGUAAUCUUAUAAAACCCCGUUAUAUUAAGGAUAGAGCAUUAUAAUUAUUACUCUUUAACGAGGAAUCCCUAGUAAACGUAAGUUAUUAGCUUACGUUAAUUACGUCCCUACCCUUUAUAUAUACCGCCUAUCGCUACUACUAAUUAAAUAGCUUAGUAAGGCUUUCGGACUAGUCUAGAGUAAGGGGCGACCCCCGUUCUAGAUCGGAAAGUUAUCCGAACUCGGUUAUUUAGAGGAAGUAAAAAUCGUAAUAAGGUCUCCGUUAAUAAACUAGCGGAGGGAUUAUUA
rnacentral:rRNA from 1 species